rnacentral:rRNA from 1 species
UGGGGAAUAUUGCACAAUGGGCGCAAGCCUGAUGCAGCCAUGCCGCGUGUAUGAAGAAGGCCUUCGGGUUGUAAAGUACUUUCAGUCGGGAGGAAGGUGUCAAGGUUAAUAACCUUGGCAAUUGACGUUACCGACAGAAGAAGCACCGGCUAACUCCGUGCCAGCAGCCGCGGUAAUACGGAGGGUGCAAGCGUUAAUCGGAAUUACUGGGCGUAAAGCGCACGCAGGCGGUUGAUUGAGUCAGAUGUGAAAUCCCCGGGCUUAACCCGGGAAUUGCAUCUGAUACUGGUCAGCUAGAGUCUUGUAGAGGGGGGUAGAAUUCCAUGUGUAGCGGUGAAAUGCGUAGAGAUGUGGAGGAAUACCGGUGGCGAAGGCGGCCCCCUGGACAAAGACUGACGCUCAUGUGCGAAAGCGUGGGGAGCAAACAGG